rnacentral:miRNA from 2 species
UUAUCAUUCUCUCGCCCCG